AUUGAACGCUGGCGGCACGCCUAACACAUGCAAGUCGAACGGCAGCACGGUCCAGUUUACUGGAUGGGUGGCGAGUGGCGGACGGGUGGGUAACGCGUAGGAAUAUGCCUUAAAGAGGGGGAUAACUUGGGGAAACUCAAGCUAAUACCGCAUAAUCUCUUAGGAGAAAAGCUGGGGACCUUUGGGCCUGGCGCUUUAAGAUUAGCCUGCGUACGAUUAGCUAGUUGGUGGGGUAAGGGCCUACCAAGGCGACGAUCGUUAGCUGGUCUGAGAGGAAGGCCAGCCACACGGGAACUGAGACACGGUCCAGACUCCUACGGGAGGCAGCAGUGGGGAAUAGUGGAGAAUGGGGGGAACCCUGAUCCAGCAAUGCCGCGUGUGUGAAGAAGGCCUGAGGGUUGUAAAGCACUGUCAGUGGGGAGGAGGAUUGACAGGUUAAGAGCUAGUUAAUUGGACGUUACCCACAGAAGAAGCACCGGCUAACUCCGUGCCAGCAGCCGCCGUAA
rnacentral:rRNA from 1 species